rnacentral:tmRNA from 1 species
GGGGACGACAGGCUUCGACGUGGUCGGUUCGUGGGGAUGAUGGCGAGUCGAGGACCCCGGUCGGCCUCGUAAAACACUCCGGGAAACAAAUAAGUGCGAAGUCUCACGACUUCUCUCUCGCGGCCUAGCUAACCCCUAGGACCCCGAGGUUCGGCCCCCGCAGCCCGCGGCGGGGAUGCUCCGGACUCAAUCAGCGGGAUUGCCCCCGAGCGGUCCACCUCCGCCAAUCGGGGGGACUCUCCAGGAGGUUGGCCCUUCGCAACCCUGCCGGCGUCGGCGAGCGGAGGGCGAGACCAGAGCGCCGGCUACGCUCGUAGAAGUCAUCUCUUACGCGAUUGCGGACGCGGGUUCAAUUCCCGCCGUCUCCACUA